rnacentral:rRNA from 1 species
GUCUCUUUGUUAAUUUUAAAUAAAGAGUCGGGCCUGCUCGGUGAAUAUUGAUUUUUUUUUAACGGCUGCGGUAUUUUAACUGUACUAAGGUAGCAUAAUAAUUUGCCUUAUAAUUUGAGGCUAGAAUGAAUGGUUUGACGAAGGUUAAUCUGUCUCUACUUUAUUUAUUAGAAUUUAAUUUUUAUAGUGAAAAAGCUUGUAUUUUUUAAAGGGACGAGAAGACCCUAUUGAGCUUAUAAUUUUAUCAUUAUUAGGUUUAUUAUUAAUAUAGUGAUGUAUAAAUUUUAAUUGGGGUGAUUAAGGAAUAAAUUUAAUUUAGUAACUUCCUUAAGUUUUAUAUUGUUGAAUAAAGUAACCAAUAAAUUAUUGCUUAUAAUAUAGUUACCAUAGGGAUAACAGCGUAAUUCAUUUAGAGAGUUCUUAUUGAAAAAUGAGAUUGCGACCUCGAUGUUGGAUUAAAGUAACCUUAAGGUGCAGAAGCUUUAAUAAGGUAAAUCUGUUCGAUUUUUAAAACUUUACA